rnacentral:rRNA from 1 species
CAAGCGGUGGAUUAUGUGGAUUAAUUCGAUGCAACGCGAAAAACCUUACCUACCCUUGACAUGUCGAGAAUCCCGGAGAGAUUUGGGAGUGCCCGAAAGGGAACUUGAACACAGGUGCUGCAUGGCUGUCGUCAGCUCGUGUCGUGAGAUGUUGGGUUAAGUCCCGCAACGAGCGCAACCCUUGUCAUUAAUUGCCAUCAUUUAGUUGGGCACUUUAAUGAGACUGCCGGUGAUAAACCGGAGGAAGGUGGGGAUGACGUCAAGUCCUCAUGGCCCUUAUGGGUAGGGCUUCACACGUAAUACAAUGGUCGGUACAGAGGGUUGCCAACCCGCGAGGGGGAGCCAAUCUCAGAAAGCCGAUCGUAGUCCGGAUUGUUCUCUGCAACUCGAGAGCAUGAAGUCGGAAUCGCUAGUAAUCGCGGAUCAGCAUGUCGCGGUGAAUACGUUCCCGGGUCUUGUACACACC